rnacentral:lncRNA from 1 species
GGCCAGUGGUGGGGUGCUGUGGUGCUGAAGAGACUGGGCUCUGGGAAUCAGAGGGUGAGACUGCAUGACGAGAUUCCUUAAGGGAAUGUGUCUGAAUUUAAAGUAGUUUGGAAAGCUGCAAUUCGGAAAGACCACCAAGACUUUAAGGGAUGAGGAUUGAAUGAAGGUGCAUGUUGGACACCUGGCUGGGAAUGGCUCUGUAAUAGCAGGCCCUGUGGCGAGCUGAAGAGACUGUGUAUUCUGGACACUGGGAAACCCUUUUUCUUAAGAAAAUAUUGUGAGAAAGCAUGUGCUGGAUAAUUCAGUCCUGACAGACCUCUGUGGACCAACUUUACUAAUUCUCUCGAGAGAACUUCUUUGAGGUGGGCAGGAGGGCUCUGAAUGUUCUUGAUAUGGGAGUGCUGGGAAGGGAAGAGCAUGGUCCCUUUAAAUGAUAUGGGAGGGGGGAAGGGAAGUGCUGGGUGAAGGAGGGUGUGGUCCCUGGCUAUGGCUCUACUCCCAGGGACCUAGAUGAGGACAAACAUUUUCUGCCCAAAUGUUGCAUUUCCCAAGACCACCCUGGCCUGCCAUGCCCCAAUUCUCUGCCUAUAAAACCCCCAAGACCCUAGCAGGACACACACAAACUGCCUGACAAUGAGAGGAGCAGAUUGGCAGAAGAAGAUAGAAGGGGCUGGAUGUCAGGAGGGGCACAUCAGUGGAGGCACACAUCAGCAGAGGAACACAUGGGCAGCUGGACGUUGGGAGGAACACACCGCCCAGCAGAAUGAUGUGGAGUUUCCCUGGGAUGGUCGGAGAAGAGUUGGGCAGUUGAACGGCCAACUCCAUGGGAAAACCCUCCCCUUCUGGCAUCCCCCAGCUGCUGAGAGCUACCUUCACUCAACAAAACCUGGCACUCAUUCUCCAAGCCCAGGUGUGAUCUAAUUUCUCUGGUAACCAAAACAAGAACCCAGGAUACAGAAAGCCCUCUGACCUUCCGACAAGGUAGAGGGUCUAAUUUAGCUGGUUAAAACAAGCCGCCUGUAGAUGUCAAAACUAAAAGAGCAAGACUAAAAGAGCACCAUGUAACACACACCCACUGAGGCUUCAGGAGCUGUAAACAUUCACCCCAGACACUGCUAUGGUGUCGGAGUCCCACAGCCUGCCUGUCUCUAUGCUCCCACAGAGGUUUGAGCAGUGAGGCAUUGAAGAAGCAAGCCACACCCUCAUUGCAUGCCUGGUGAGGGGGAUGAGGGAAUUUUUCCCAUUUCAUUAUCAUAAGCCUACGCACAAGGUGACUUGUGUGUAGCACAAUGAUGACUAUGGUGGCACCUGGAAGGUUUGAUUCUGUCCCAUAGAGGGAUAUCAAGAGUCUGAAGUUGGAAUUUAGUUGACUUUUGAUUGAAGCCACUAUAGAAAGAGUGUCCACAGCCU